AGCAGCCGCGGUAAUUCCAGCUCCAAUAGCGUAUAUUAAAGUUGUUGCAGUUAAAAAGCUCGUAGUUGAAUUUCGGGAUUAAUAUGUUGGUCGUGCCUUGGUACGUACUGGCAUUAUUGGUUCCUACCUUCUGAAGAACCUCGAUGUCAUUAAUUUGGUGUCUUGGGGAAUCAGGACUGUUACUUUGAAAAAAUUAGAGUGUUUAAAGCAGGCUCGCGCUUGAAUACAUUAGCAUGGAAUAAUGAAAUAGGACGUUUGAUUCUAUUUUGUUGGUUUCUAGGAUUGACGUAAUGAUUAAUAGGGAUAGUUGGGGGCAUUAGUAUUCAAUUGUCAGAGGUGAAAUUCUUGGAUUUAUUGAAGACUAACUACUGCGAAAGCAUUUGCCAAGGAUGUUUUCAUUAAUCAAGAACGAAAGUUGGGGGCUCGAAGACGAUCAGAUACCGUCCUAGUCUCAACCAUAAACGAUGCCGACCAGGGAUCGGCGGAUGUUGCUCUAAGGACUCCGCCAGCACCUUCUG
rnacentral:rRNA from 1 species